CCUGGUAUUUUUACGUACCUGCAAAAUAAAAACAAAAAAAAAAAAAUGUUAGAACUUUUUGAAUUUUAUGUUUAAAAAUAAAUUUUAUAGCUAAAUUUAUAUAAAAAAAAAUAGCAUUUUCGUUGGAAUUUGCAAAAAUGUAUUCCUAAAAAUUAAUUACAUAGUUGAAAAUUACGGUUUUUCUAUUGUUGCAAAAAUAAUGGCAAGUACAAGAUUUAACCUUGUUCUAAUUAUUUCGUUUACACAUCCUUGCAUGUCAUCAGUGACAUACAACCUUAGUUCUUUUAAUAAUAAAGUUUCGAAAGCAAUGGAUCCAAAAUCAGACGAUGACAUCAUACUGGCUUCAAAACUAAAAUAAAAAUAUAAGAGACAAUAAAUUUAUCAACAACUGUCAUCCCGGUUAUAUUCUGUCGACAGUCCUCGCAGCAGUUCCCCAUUAAACCAGACAAAAAUGACACACAGAAAAAAAAAAAAAAAACUACCAUGGCAUACAUUUAUUAAACUCUGUUCCCUGACUAAUAACAACUUGGGUAUUGUUCAUUAAAGGUGAAAGGUGAGUUCAUCGAUCCCCACCUCUAUUUUUUUUUUCGUAAUAGGUAUACAAAAAAUAAAAAUGUUUGUUUGUAUAUUUGAUGAA